rnacentral:misc_RNA from 1 species
UUGAUUACAUGUUCGCAAAAACUCAAAACGGCCGAAACGGUCACCUGGAGCAAACCGUUAAUAGCGGCAAAUUUCCUUCCACUUCUUUCUCUCUCGAGUUUUUUUAUCACCAAUUGUCCUCUACACUUGUCCCUCCCUAAACCCUCAAUUUUCUUCCCAAGUUUUCCCUUUCUAGGGUUUCUGUUUCUCUCAUUCACUCAUUCCUCUGUCCAGAAGUGUAAUAUUUUCAAAAAAUGUCGAAGAAGGAGAAGGAGGAUGAGAGAAUUGAAAGGAUUAUUCGCGGUCUUCUCAAACUUCCUGAGAAUCGAAGAUGCAUAAAUUGCAAUAGUUUGGGACCACAAUAUGUUUGCACAACUUUCUUGACAUUUAUUUGCACAAAUUGUAGUGGAAUACAUCGGGAAUUUACACAUCGAGUAAAAUCAGUGUCAAUGGCUAAAUUUAAAGCAGAAGAAGUUAGUGCUCUUCAAGCUGGGGGAAAUGAGAGAGCAAGACAACUUUAUUUCAAAGAAUGGGAUCCUCAGCGGAAUUCCUAUCCUGAUGGCAGUAAUCUUCACAGGCUUCGCGAUUUUAUCAAGCAUGUUUAUGUGGACAGAAAAUAUUCUGGUGAGAGACGUCAUGAGAGGCUCCCAAAGCUGAGAUUGAGUGACAAGGAGGAAUCCCGUGAGAGCAGGAAGCUUGGUUUAAAUUGUGGUCACUAUAAAAGUCCUAAUUAUGAGAGCAGAUAUGACCAGAAAGGAAGAUCUCAUCCUGGUGGAAUCAGUGAUGACAAAAGUAUAAAAUAUUAUUAUGACGAAAGAAGAAGUCCUCGUUAUGCCCAAGAAAAUUCAAGAUAUGGAGGUUUCAAGAAAAGUCCUGUCCGCUUUGCAGUUGUUGAUGACAGGUUUCGAGAUGACGGUGCUCAAAGCGGAAGGGAAUCUGCUAAUCAUAGGUUUUCAAAUAAAGAUGGCAGGUUUGGGAGCUUGUCACCUGACCGUAAAAAGAGCAUGGAUCAGUCCAGCUCCCCAGUGGCACAACCUGUUAAAGAUAUCCCAGGGCAGAAUGCUCCGGCUAUGCAAGUAGGUGAAUGUUCUAAAGCAACUGUCAGGAAAGAUGCUGAUGGCUCUACCCACAAUCAGAUUAGUGGCAGCAAAGGAUUUAUUGAUGGGAAGACUUUGGAAGAAAAAAAUCAGAAUUUAGAGAGCUUGAUAAAUUUUGAUUCUGAUUGCAUGCCCUCCAAUGCUGCAACAGGACCACAAACACAGGAAAAUCAUCAGUUGAGUGACGGAGGCAACCACAAGUCUAAUGGACCUUCCACAAUGCAAAAUGCAUCACAGGUCCCAAAACCAAAUACUUUGGAAUUUUUGCUUUUUGAAUUGUCAGUUCCCUCUGUUGAAACUGCUGGUAGUGUAUCUGAAGAUUCAAAUAAAGAUAAUCCUCCAUCAACUACAUCUGGAGGCAAUAUGCCCAUGAGUGGUGACAUUUCAGCAGCAGUGCCAUCAGGGCUGAUGUUAACUUUACUAGACAAUAUGGGAGCUUCUACCAAUGCAACUGGAGGCAAUGUGCCCAUUGAUGUAUCACCAGCUGUAACUCCUGGGCAGAUGUUGGCAUUAUCCAGCAGUGCUGGUACUUCCACAAUUGCAUCAGGAGAAAACAUGCCCAAUGGCAAUGUUUCAGCAGCUGUGCCUUUGGGGCAGAUUUCAACAUCACCCAAUAGUGCUGGUCUUUCUAUAAGUGCAUCUGGAAAAAGUACUCCUGCUGGUGGUAUUUCCCCAGCCGCAACUGUGGACCAAACAUUAUCAUUACAUGAUACUUUUGAUUCUACAACUCCAUCUACUACUAGUUUGCCCGUGCAACCUUCUGAUGGAGCACCUUCACAAGCUGCACCUGCUAUUCAUGGUGAUUCCACUUUCAAGGCUCCAAAUGGGAAACAGGUGCCCAGCAUGCAGCAACAUCAGCUUUCUGAAUUUCCUUCUGCAGACAGUAAACCUAGUGGACAACCCACUUGUACUACUACAGUUGGACCUCCAAAUAACCAGCUGUGGACUUCUCUGAAUGUGCCUAAUGCUCAAGGACCUGAUAGCGCUUCUGCUGAAUUCACUCACGAUGUCACAAAAGUAGCCCAAGAAUCCAGUUCUGGAGUUAAAUCCCAGCAACUCCCAGUGGAAACGAAGUCUAUUGGAAGAAAGGAACUCCCUGCAGUAAUUGCCUCGUCUUACAUUGUUUUAGAUGUUGCUCUGAAUAUUCUCAUAAUAUAUGUUUAUCCUCUGCAGGACCUUUUCACUGCAAGUUAUUCACCAGCGACUGGGUCAAUUCCAGGUUGGCAAAGUGCUCUACCUUAUGGCAUGGGAUUCGGCAUGCAGUAUUAUCCUAAUGCAGCGGUAUCUUAUGAACCAAGAUGAUCAAGUGGAAUGACCUGUGGUAAAAUAUCUUAACCAUGCAAAAUCAAGCAACCCAUUUGAUCUAAACGACGAAACCACUUCAGUACAAGUUUCACCAGCAGCACUUACUAAUGUGUCAGUUCCAAGGAACUUAUUGCCCUCUACCAGCAUCGACAAAAAUUCUUUAGGGUUAAUGGCAACUCAAGCACCGUCUUAUGCAUCUGCAAUGCCUCUACAAUCUUCUUCCUUUGCAUCACCCACAUCUGGUGCAUACAUGGGGCAACAACUCCACAUGAAUACACAACCUUCUAGGCCACAAGGAGCUGCAGGUGCCUAUGAUACUGACGCCCAUUUUGGCUCACAAAACAUAACCCAGCAAUCUUCCAGCGGCUAUCCACUACCUUCUGCUCCAAAUUCACUUCCUUCUAUGGGAGGGAACCCAUUUGGAUAAACCAAGGAUUAUAUUUGGGUUACAGUCUCUUAAGUUUGUGGAACAGAAAUCUGGGGUUCCUUCUGUUGAGGAUCAAAUGAAACAGGCUGCCUGAAAUGAGAUGGUACUUCUGUAUCUGUGGUGAUGAAGAUGAUUCUGAAAGAACACAUAGAGGUGAUCACUGUGGAUGAAGCUAUAUUUUCAAGAACAUAUAGAAGUGAUCAUACUGUAUAAAGGUGAAUUUUCAUGAACACAUCAUGAAUGUCAUCAUCAGAACAGAUUCGUUCUGAUUACCUGGUCACCUAGGGUUCCCAUUGAUCCAUUGGCAUAGCUCAUUGUCCUUUGUAGUUUUACAUAGUGAUCAAUCUUUGUAGUAAAUAAAGGUAUAUUUUCUUUAUACAUCGUGAAUGCCAUCAUCAAGACAGAUUCGUUCUGAUUCCCAUUGAUCCAUUAGCAUACCUCGUAGUACUUUCUAGUUUUAUCAAUCUUUGUAUAAUUUCUUACAGGGCACUGUUACCAUUUAUAUACUGCUCGUCUGCUAUUUCCAAAUGCUGUAUUUAUUGAUUAAUUGGACAAGGAAACAAAGACAUGAAAUUAUUACAAUCUAGUUAAAGAUCUACUGCAUUGUGUAAUGUUUCUAUUGCUCUUCUUUUUUGGUGGUUGAUUGGGCUCCAACUAAUU